AAGACUAUACUUUCAGGGAUCAUUUCUAUAGUUCAUUACUAGAGAAGUUUCUCUGAACGUGUAGAGUACCCGAAACCACAAGGAGGAGAUGCAGUGUCCCUUCCUGAGCGUGAAGCCGACUUUGGGUGUUGUCCUUACAGCUGCCCUUUGUCAUUGAUGAUCGUUCCACUUCUCUUUCUUGGAGGAGUGAGAGGGAAGGGAUGUUAUCUGAGUGGU